rnacentral:lncRNA from 1 species
CGGCCGAUCCGCCGUCCACGCCUACAAAAACCACACCGUCGGCGAUUCCCUCGGCUGGUUCGACAAAUUGGAGAAACCUGCCGUCGAUUACCAGGAAUGGACCGCCGGUAAAACCUUCGGCCUCGGUGAUUUUCUAAGUAAGUUAUUCUAAUUCCCCUGUUUUCUCUAAUUAAUCAUGCUUCGCAAUGACUCUUUGCUCUCUCUGUUAAUUCCUGUUUUGAUUUCGUAAACUCUCUCUCUCUGGAUAUUUCGAAUUCUCUGUUUUUGAUUUUUGAUUCAUCUUUUCACGAACUUGAAAAUUCGGAUCGCGGUUUUUCUAAGAACUCGUAAAUUUCACGUGAUUCGAUUUUGUGAAUCCUCUCGUUCAAGUUUAGCAUCUAUGUUUUUGGUUUUGAAUUAAAACUUUUAUUGCUUAUCGUUUUCUCGAAAAUGUGUGGUCCUUGUGCAAUUUUUCUUGUUGUUUCAAUCGAUCUCUUUACUUCUUUUUCGUGUGUUUUUCUUUUUAUUGUAUCGAUAUAAUUCUUACCUAAUUAAUUAAUUUUUGUUAGUUUUCCUCUCUCUCUCUAUAUAUAUUGUUUUUACCUUUAGAAAAAACCUCUAAAUAUAACUUUUGUGUUUUUUUCAUCAUAAACUAUGAUAAAUUUUAGCAUAACAGAAAAAAUAUCAAACUAUUUACCAAUAUAGUAAAAAAAAAAUUGAUUGGUAGACACAAAUAUUCUUGUUUAUAAUAAAUUUAUAUUCAUAUUCAUCAACUUUUAUUAAAAAUAAUCAUUCUAUAAACUACUUUUCUAAUAGACUUCUAUUCACAUUUAUUGUAACAGUAAUUAAUAAUUAAUGACUAAAAAAUUAUUUAUAGUAAAUAACUAAAAAAUUUAUAUAGUUUGAUCAAUAAUGUUCUUAAUUUUAAAGUACAUUUCUUUAAAAAAAUUAAUUUCAUAGUGAUUGAGAUUAUAAUAACAAAAACUCAACCAAUAUUUUAAACAAAUCACAAUGGAACAAAUUUGACUUUGGUACGUCACUUUUUAACCUAACGUGUGAAAUUUGGCGGUUUUAAAUCAUUGAUUUGAAUAAUUUCCACUCAUGCAAUUACAUUGUUAUAAUCAAAUAACAAUAAUAACGCGAUGAUGAUUUCUAUUAUUAGCAUUAAUUCUAUACUUUAUAAUGUUUGCGUCAUAUCCACACAACCAAUUUUAACAUCAUAAUAACUAAUAACUUUAUUGAGUAACUUUUCUUUGAAGGUUGAAUUUUGUAUAUUUAAUAUUCUAAAUAUAAAUGUAGUAAGUAAAAAAAAAAAGUACAUGGUUUAUUUUCUGAAAAUGGAGUUUCGAUUUUAGUUGGUUUUGGAUAGUAAAUGGUUGAAAAGAGAAAGUUCAAUAAUACAAAGAGAAACCCUAUUUUGUUUUUAAAUUUUUUUAUAUAUAUUAUCGAAGUCAAAAAUUAAAGAAAUAAAUAAAUAGAUAGCACCAACCGUACGUACCCCAUGUUGUUUUUUUUUCUUGGAGAAUGAUUUUGACAGCUAAACUAACAUGACGGUGCCUAUUUCCAUAUUGAUUUUAUUCAAAUUAUAGAUUUAAUCAUCCAACUUUAUAGUUCAAUGUUAUUUUCUUUUUAAUUAAAAGCUUAGAACUUUCAUUAAACAUCGCAUUCGAACUUGUAUCUUAAUUUCAUACUAAUUUCAAAACUUUAAACAUAUCAUAAAUAUUAGGAGUAAACAUUUGUUGAUUAUAGUCGAUUUUUUUAUCAAAUCACACAUCGAACCAACUAAACUAUGGUCGAUUUGAUAUACGUUUAAAUUAAUCUAGAAUAAAAAAUUAGUUUGUUAGUUUACUUCCUUAAUGAACUUUUUUGAUUUAAAAUUUUUCGACUAUUAAUAUUGAAAUUUUUAAAAAUUAAUAAAAUAAAAUAAAAUAUCUACAUGUUAUAUUAUAAUAUAGAACGACAAAAAUCCAUAGAUUUUUAUCACAUAGUCUAUCAAUAUUGAAUAUUAAAAUUUGCUAUAUGCUUAACUUUUUUUUCUGUCAAAUUUGAUAUAUUUUUUUUUCACAAUUCUUCACUAAUAUUUUAAAACAAAUAAAAUGAUUUCAAUUAGUGGACUAAAACUGUAAUUGGACUUUACUUUUUGUUUCUAAAUUACAUAUACAAUUUCAAAGUUUUUAAAGAUAUCGUAAAUAGUUUUAAUAUCAAUUUAAAUGUUUAGAGGUCUAUUAAUAUUUGAAAAGAAAUUGACUACAAUUAGUGGACUAAAUUUUUAAUUUGACUUUAUCUUUUUUUAAAAAAAAUAAAUUUUUUGUUUAAUUUUACUUUUUGUUUUUCUAAUGUUUGCACCAUGCACGCAACUGUGGUAUUCUUAAGCUAGCUUGUACCACGUGUUGGGAUACAAUUGGUUGUUAAAGAGAAAUGUCGGCAAUGCACAUGCAUGUGAUUGCGUGUCAUCCAUGUGCCGCUUUGUUGUAAAGCUCUAAACUUCGAAUGCCGUAAAAACUUAUUUUGAUUUUUUUUUAGUACGAAAGUUCAUCCCUUAAUUUUCUUUGAAGUACAAACAUUUAGUGAAUUUUUAAAUCUUACAAAUAAUUGUUUGGUUAAAUUGCAAAUUUUGUCUCGUAGAGAUCUAGGUAGGUUGGAAUCAAUAAAAAAAAAAGUAUUUUUCAAAAACUCAUUUUUAUUUAAAUGUUCUUGUUCAACCGCUUAAAAUACACUAUUUUUCUAAAAUAUGACAUUUUUUAAAAAAUAAAACACUUGAGGAUGAAUUCCAUUAAAAAAAAAAAAGAACCUUUUAUCAAAUUAAAAAAAAAAGAACCUUUUAUCAAAUUAAAAAAACUAAGUUAUAAUUUAAAACAAUUUUAUUACAAUUAUAGAGACCCCGUUUAAUUUUAUAGCUUUUGUUUUUAUUAGUGUUUGAUAUCAAAUUUUAUGUCUACUAAAAAGAAGGUGUUGUGAAUUUGAAAUAUGAAGAAUAUAUUUGAUAACUAGUUAGUUUUUUCAGAAAUAAGCUAGUAAUUCAUCAACAUUACUUCCCUCUCUAGUCUUAGUUCAAAACAAAAACAAAAAAUAUAGAGAUACUAUUGAAAACAAAGUAAGUUUUUGAAAACUAAAAAAAAGUCUAUUUUAUAAAAAUACUAUUAUUAAAACAAAUUAUAAGAAAAUAUAUAGAACUAGGAAAAACAAACACACAUACACAGAGAAAAAAUCACGUAGUUAUAAUCCAAUAGAGUUGAAAGUAAUUCAUUGAUUGUAUCAAAUUUCAUGUCUAUUGCGUGGAGAGAGAAAAUCGUGAAGUUGAGAAAAUUAAAAGCUUUAUUUCAUAACCCAUAAUCAUUUAGUUUUUAUUUUUUUAGUUAUCUAAUAAUCAUAUGCUUAUUUUAUUCUUUAGAAAGUAGUAAUGCUUAAUCUUAAUCUUCUUCUUCUUUUGGAUAAACUGAUUAUUUGAGGGUUGAAAACAAAAUUUACAAAAACGUUAUGAUAUUCGUUAUUUUGCAGUUUUCAACACGGACAACAACCACUCGGUUGUGCAAACAUACAAUGUCACCACAUACAAGCUUUGUGACUACGACGACGCAUCAGAUCACGAUACGACGGAAUGGUCUGCCGCUGAUCCGUCCGCAACCACUCCCUACCCCGUCACGGUGGCUGUCCCCUUGGUUAAAGAAGGCCCCAACUACUUCUUCUCUGGCAACUACGACGGAGAGCAGUGCCAAAAUGGGCAACAGUUCAACAUAAAUGUCACCCAUGGACAGGGCCUCCCUAAAAGCAUGAGAGAUCCUUCGGAGGAAGCUCCGGCUCCGGUAGUUCCUGACACCGGCGAUCAAACCGAAUCUGCACCAGACACCAUUAUCCCUUCCAGCUUCGACAAUCCUCGAAACGAUGUGGCCGAUAAUAAUAACGAUAAGGAAUCUUCCGGCUCCAAUUCGUUAUCGCUUAUUUAUUGCUUCAAGUUUAAUGAGUUUUUGUUCUUGUUAGUUGGUAUUGCUUCUGCCUGCUUUUUGUCUUUGUACUGAGUGAUUUUGUUUUUAUUGCUAUAUUUAUUUUUUAUUUAAUUGUUACGUUCUUCAAUAUUCAAAUAAUGUGGGUUUUCUCUUUUCUUGGUGUUCAAGCAAUACAUACUAUAUAUAUAUAGUUAGCUCUAUCGUAGGUUUUCCUUAGGGUUUUCUUCACUCUUUUUGUGCAUUUAUAUACAAAAUUAUAUAAUGUAAUAAUGGAUUGAUCAUAUAAUUGAGAGUGUGAGUACACCAUUUUAUGUUUUUUUUUUCUCUCUCUCUCUCUACUGGCACCUUCUCUUCAAGGUUUAAUCAUUUUUCUCAAUUUUGCUUUCAUUAACACACUAUUCUUUGAUUUAACAUAUAUUGACUUCAUGGAGUUUGUGAGUCAAACAGCCUAGAGUGAUCAAUAAUAAUACUUCUUGAAUUGUAGGGUUUAAGUUAUAGAUGCUAAUUAAUCAAUAUAUGUUUCAAACAUUCAUGUCUGUUUAAUUUAAGAUAUAUGGAUAUAUGUUAUUUGUUAAAAAGAAGGAUAAUACAUUUAUUUGGGAGGUUAUGCCUUUAGAGAAAAAAUAGCAUAUGUAUAAGAUUACUUGAUGUCAAAAUUCGUAUAUAUAGAGGAAAAUCAUAUAUGGUUUCACGUAAUAACAACAGUAAAUUUGUUUGAUAGAGGAAGAUUUAGUACGAUCGACCUUAUUUGUAAGACUUGCACACCAAUGUGAUGCUUGACAUACAAGUAUAAGUAGCAACAAUAAAUUUGUUUGAUAGAGAAAGAUUAGUACAACCUUAUUUGUAAAACUUGCACACUAGUAUGAUGCUUAAUUGAUAUACAAGUAUGAGUAGUAUAAGUGCAAUUUGUGGGUGGAAGAAUGAACUUAUCUUCCUUGGAGUUAUGUGGUUAUGACCUAGAUUAUAUUGUUAAGAUAUUGUUUCAAAGUAGCUUAGGAACAAUCUCUCCCUGCACAAGGUGUAUAUCUAAUUUCAUGUUAGGCAAAGGUUUGCCUCGACUAAGCAUGCACCUUCUCCUAGCCCAUUUUAGUCCUACUGUGAUGCUUUAGGUCGAGACAUGCUUCAUUAGUUAUUUUGUUAAUUUUGUUUCGGUUUCGACCAAGGUCGAUCGUGUUGAUUUGGGCUUCAUGACCUGAGUUAAUUCUGUUUUGCAACCUUCCCCUAGGAUACUUAUUUUUGGACAAGUGAUCUUGUUAUUUUAUUGGCUAUGUUGCUUACAUCCUUAUUUUACGUUAAAUGUAUAUUUUUAUCUAAAAUCACCUAUAAUAUUUAGGAGACCUAAAACGUCAUAUGGGGAUCCUUGCUAGGGUCCGAGGAUAUAUUACAUGACACAUAGGAUCAUCCAUCAUUUAUGCCAUGUGACGAUGUCUUUGUGUAAAAUACUUGAAUCCCAUAGUACAUUUUUCUCUAGGCCAACACUUUUGGUCCAAUGUAUAGCAUGUUUUGUGUCAAACUCUUGAUUUGAUUUUAAAAUGCUUUAUUAGCUUUUUCUACUGUGGUUGGAGAUGAAGGCGAAAACAAGUGUGCAAUUAAACCAUAUAGUUUAUUACAAGCAACUUGGAACUACACGUGUGGGGCAGUUUCUUCUUAGAGCUUUCUCCACAUUAGACUCUAAUAAGAAACGUACCUAGAUUGACUUAAAAAAAAAUAUUUGGUGAAAAAACUAAUUUAUGUUUAAGCUUUUUUGUGAAAAUUAUUUAAAAUACACUUAAAAAACUAUUUUGAGUAGCUUUCAAACCGUUUAAUUUAUUUCAAAACAAUUUAUUAUUUUUUAAUUAGACACUUCAAGAUCUAAUCCAAUUAAUUAUGUUUUACUUUAGUUACACCCAUUCUCUUUCUUUCUUCAAUAAUUUACAAAAUCAAUUAAUUAAAAGAUAUAUAUUCUAACUAAAUUAAGAAACUCGAAAAUCACCUAUUUUAAAUAUAUUUGGUUAUUCUUCGAAUAUUUUAAAAUAAUUAAUAUGAUUUGCAAAGAAACCUACCAUUCUUCUUUCACUAUUUCCAAAAAAACAAUUGAUCACAAUGCAGUUGUCUUUACUUUCUUUCUUUGUUUUUUUUAUAAAUACAUUGCACUAUAUUUAAGGUAUACACUAUAGUCACCAAAACCACAUUUGAUUUUUUAAUAUAUUGUAAUAUAUUGAAGGUAAUCUACUACCUACAUUCAUUAUUCAUAAUUUAGGAUAUGUUGUCUUUCGGGUUAUAUUUUUAGGAUAUUUGAUUCUUCGAACUCAAUCGUUGUCAUUUCACAAUGCAACACCAUAUAAUCUUAGUAGAUUUGUAAUUAACAUUAUUGUUCUCUUUCAUUGAAAAGACCAUCAUAUACAAUCAACAUACCUAGAUAUAUAUUAAAACAUAAAUGAUAUCAUUUCAUACAAUAAAUAGUAUGGUAUAUGGUUGAUGAAAUCAAUAUAUCACAGUUAUGCAUCUAAUAUACACUAAGAUACAUUAUACCCUAUAUGUUAUAAAUAAUAUUAGAGUAUAUAUGUAAUAUAAAUGUGUGAUAUUAACCUGCAUUAUAUCAGUAUAUUUUAAAUAAUAAAGUAAAAUAAUUUAUCAUGUAACGUCAAAUGAAGAGUGAUUUGAAGAGAAAACUAACAUAAAUAGAAAAAAUUGGCUAUAACGUUGUUUCUCUCCAAAUGCUAAAGAAUGAAUCUCAACUAAUUAUUGCAAUUACACUGAAUAUAUCUUCCCUCCAACAUUAGAAAUAUUAUGGAAAUAUUCAACCUUCAACGCCGUCGCAAAAAGGUAUUUUCAACUAAUCCUAUUAAUGAAAAUACUCCAAAAUUUGGACAAUUUUGAAAAUGCAUUUAAUAUCUACAUAUCCCUUGUUCUUGUAGCGGCAUUUGUGGGCUGGACUGAAAUGAUUUGGAUGUAUAAAUGGGCCCAUAAAACUAGAGCCAUUAGGUCAUUUCUGUGAGUCAAAAGGCCCAAUUUCUUCAUACUUUUUGAGCUUUUUCUAAAUAAAUAGGCCCAAAUUUUGAUUUUUUUUAAAUGAAUAAAAAUAGGUAAGGUUGCAAAUUUAGCCAUAAAAAUAGGAGUAACAUUUUUAAAAAAUUACAAAUAUAGAAAAAUUUGUCAAAUUCUAUCAAUGAUAUAAGUCUAUCAUUGAUAGAUUAUACAAAUUUACCGGUGAUAGAAGUCUAUAAACGAUGAUUUUGCUAUAUCUGCAAUUUUUUUAAAAUGUUGCUAUAUCAUUUAUUAUUAUUUCUAAAAUGUUUAUCGAUUUUAACUACCCAUAAAAUAUAUAUAUAUUUGACAAAGGACAUGAAAACAUGGUUCAUUAUCUACAUACGGAGUUAGAGAAAAUAAACUUUAGCUAGUUUUUUAAUAUACUAAUGAUAGUUGGAGGAUUGUAUCUCUAAUCUUCAAAAACAUAAACCAUGUCAAUAUUAAGUUGGAUUUCAAAUCUUAACAAAUAGAAUUAAAAAAAUGAUAAUUUAUUUUAAAUAACAAAAUUACUCAUAAAUAUAGUAAAAUAUUAUAAUCUAUUAUGAUAGACCACCACUAUCUGUGUUUAUCACAAGUUUAUUUUGAGUAGAUAUUUUGGCAACAAAUAGUUGUCUAUAUUAGUUUAUCGCGAUAAAUAGUAGAAUGCAAUAUAAAUAUUUCGUUCAUUUUGUUAUAUUUGAAAACAAUUUCCAUUUUUUGUACUAUUUAUAGGAAAUUUCUAUGGAUAGCAAUAUAUAUAUAUUACAAAACAAAGUCAUUCUUUUUAAUUGAAUAUAAAAAGAUGGAUAGAUUUUUGGUACGUUUUUUAAACUGUUUCAAUACUGUGUUAAUUUUAUAAUAUUUUAGUUAAUUUUUUAUUUCAUCAUCUCUCUAAAUAUUUAAAUUUAAAUUUUUAAUUAUUUAACUUAAUCUAUAGAGUAUCGAGUAUCGAAUAUGUUUACGAGCACAAGAGAUCUCAAUUCAAAUCCCCGCCCACUAGUUUAACUUAAUAACACAUUCUCAGACAUAAAAAAGGAAGAAAAUUUAAAUGGUUAAUUAGCAAACAAACUUGAGAAGAUUAAACUUCUAAACAAUGAAGUGUUAGUCACGUAAAUACCUUACCUUUUUCUUCAAGAAAAAUCUCACACUCCAUAAAUAUAAAACAAACCAUUUGAAAGGCCAAAAGAAAAAAGAAAAAAGUACGGCGCCGAAACAAAGGUAUUGUUCCUCUGUGUAAGCGCAAUCUGUGUCAACCACCCGACGUUUCGCGCGUUAUUUAUUUUCAACCAUCACUGCACAAGAGCUCCACAAUCUUCUGAAAUGGCGGAAUCAUCGUCCACUUCAAAGUCCGAUUUGCAAUUAGAAGAAAUGCUGGAUCGAAUACUGACGCGCUUGGCUUUGUGCGACGACUCCAAUCUUCAAUCCCUUCUUUUGAAAGUUCUUCCUGCCACAAUUUCAUCCCUUUCCUCGCAGGCCAUCUCAGUCCGUAACAAGGUUUUGUAAAUUGUUUAUAGCUGUUAUUUCUCUUGAAAAUUCGUGUGUUUUCAGUUACUGGGUUGAGCUCAAUUUUGAAGUUUGUGCUGUUGAAAAUGAUGUUAUUGUAAGUUUUUUAGUUUAUAAGCGUUUGGUGUGAUACACAGUUAGAUUUUCCCCCCUUCACGAGAUAUGUGGCGUUUGACAAUGAGCUAUGUAUUUGGCAUGUAUUAUGAUGAAUUUUCAUUGGCCCUUUUAUUUGCACACACAUCAUCUUGUUUUGAUAAAGAUACCUUCAAUCUUCACAUUAUCAACUCUUCUUCAGGCUCGUGAGUGCUAUGAAUUUAUUUCAACCGAAUUCUUUUUUAUUUUUGGAGCAGCCAAAUUCAAAUGGACUGUAUACACGAGUCUCGUUAAUAUAAGAAAUUUUGGUAAACCAGGUUAAUUUCUUUUGGGAUUUUGUAUUCUUAUUACAAAAUGAGCUUAGAAAGAAGUAUCAGUAGUGUUGAUUUCAAUUGGGGCAUGGCGAUACCCCUGUGGUUGUGCGCCCACAUCCCAAAUACAGUGCAAUGCACAUGGGCAUACACUUGGGGUGUGGACGAUGACUAGAGGCCGUGGAGGGUGGGGAACACGACGAUGAAAUGUGCCUGUUCGGAUUAAGGUUGAGUACUAUGGGGGCAUGACUGUGAACCUCAUUGGAUACAAGAGGUUGCAAUGCUGCCCAACACUCAAUUCAAUUUUUGCUUUAAGGCAGGUGGUAGAGGUUUGAGGCAUGGAUAAGGAUGCAUGUAGGAUUGUGUUGGGGGCUAUGGUGCCAAAAGCGUGUGACUCUCCAACCUGCCAGAGUGUUGCUCCAUAUCGAGCUAGGCGAUGAUUCUUUAAAAUAGUUUUGAAAAGACAUUUAGUAAUCGAGUGAACUCACAUUGUGGCUCCCUUUUACUAAGGUCGUUUGGUUCCACAAUUUUUUAAACAUGUUCGUCACAUAGAGGUUUUUUAUGAUGUAUGUACAUCACAGAGAUAUUAGUGCUAUGAUCGAGGAGUUCCUCCUCAAUUCACCUUUUAGGGAGAAAGAAAGGUUGUUUUUUAUGGUUUGCUAGGGUGUGCGUGGUAUUAUGGGUCUUGUGAGGUGAGCGGAAUUGUAAGGUUUUUAGGAGAGUGGAGAGGGAUAUGUGGGACUUGGGAAUUAUGGUCCGUAGUUCAUUCUCAGGUCUCUCUUUGUGCUUUGAUUUUGAAGACUUUUUAUAGCUAUUUUAUAAGUGGGAUUUCACUUAGUUGGAGUCCAUUCUUUUAAAGGAAGCUCCCCUUUUUCGUGGGCUUUAUAUGAACAUAAAUUCUUUCAUUUUUUCUCAAUGAAAGUGGUUGAUUUUAGUCUCUCUUUUGAAGGGUUUUAGGUAGUCAAAAAAUGAAAGAAUUUUCAAAUAUUAAGAGUCUUUAUCAACAUUUGUUUUAGUCUUUUUCCUUGCUGCAUUUUCUUGUUUAUGAUACAUUACAGCCCAAAGAGUUAGCUGUUGUCCAUGUGAUAUCAAUUUCCUUCUGAGUUGUCAUUUCUGUAUUAACCUCCCUUUUGCCUAUUGAACAUGAUAGGUUCUGGAGAUCUUGAGCCAUGUGAAUAAGAGAGUGAAACACCAAUCUCACAUUGGUUUGCCGUUGUUGGAGUUGUGGAACAUAUAUUUGGAGGCCAAUUCUACGUCAAUGGUCAGGAAUUUCUGCAUUGUGUAUAUUGAGAUGGCAUUUGAUCGUCUAGGUCCAAAGGUAUAUGCAUUUAUCUUGUCCAUUCGACACUUCGAAUUUUAUUUUGUUGAUUGGUAGUUGGGUGAAUUAGUUGUGCUAUCAAGUUCCUGACAUUUCUUGCACAGGAAAAGGUGCACAUGGCCCCUAUGGUUUUGGCAAAUAUUUCGAAGCUACCUUCUCAGCAUCAAGAUAUUGUUUUGCGGAUUGUUAUUAAGGUGGACUAUUCUAUCGAUACCUUUGGGUUUGUAGCAAUAUACUGCUGUUCAUAUUUAUAUCUUUUUAAAUGUUUUUUAUUAUCUAUAAAUGUAUCUUAUUUUUAUAUUUUUGUAUUAAUAAGAUGACCUCUUGGCUGAUAUUUGUUUCUUACCAUAUUUUGAUUUAUAAUCUUUUUAUCAUCUUUUGUCAAUUUAAAAAAAUGUCUUUUUUUGUUGGAAACUAAUUUGAUUUACUUUUUCAUUCCUUUUUCUUGUUUUCAAUUUCAAACGUAGUUUUAGUGAGGUUUUCCACAUUGUAAUUUACAUGACAAGAUGAUUGAAACUAUUAUUACUUGUGGAUUUUCGGGGAGAAAUCCAUCUUGUUUCAACUGCCUAGCAUUUCGUUAUUUUUUCACUUGUAGAUUUUUGGGCCAUAUGGAAGGUUAAGAACAACGUAUUUUUGAAUGAGAUAAAAAUAUGGCUGAAGUGUGUAUAAAAUCCAUGUUACUGCUUUAUGUGAUCUUGUUUAUUUGAUUAAGGAGUUUCUUCUGCUUCUUCGUUGAAUUGCUCACUUUGGUUUAUGAUGGGAUCAAGCCUCUUCACGUUUGAAAUGGAUUGGUUUUAUUUUUCUUUCUUAGUCCUUUUUUCCGUUCCUUUUCUAUGUACUUGCCGUGGAAAAUUGUUCUUUAUUGGUAUAAUUGGAAAAUCCACUUGGCAUAAUUUGUUUUCCUUGUACUUUGAAUUGUUCCCCUGAGACAUUUCUGCUCUUGAGCGAGGGUUAUUUCCUGUUUUCAGGUGAUGGGUGAAUGUCAUUCCCGUGAAAUUGACGAAGAAGUUUCUGCUAAAUAUAGAGCGCUGAAUAUGUCCCAGAAUCAAUUGCUCUUCCUUGACUUUUGUCUGCACACAAUGAUGUAUCAACCUUACUCUGAAAGGUUUGAAAUCUUUUGAGUCAAGUUUUUGUACUUAUGCAUCUAAAUACUUUAAUUUAAUGAAAUAUUACAUAAAACUUAUGCUUUAUGAUUUUUUAUAGUGAAGGAUGCCCGCCUGGACUUUCAAUUGCUCAAAUGAAACGUGUUACUGGAAAAAAUCCUAUAAACAACGAUGCACUUCUAUUGAGAAAGGUGGUUUAGUCUAAAUGAAACUUGACCAGUUGACCUGAAUGGUUUUUCCUAUUGUAAUAAUUGAAAAUUACAUGGCUACCCAUGCAUUUAUUUAUGCAUUUUUUUGCUAAUCAAUGAGGAAGCUAAGAUAUUUUAUGAUUUUUUUCCCAACAGUUGGGCAUUUUGAAUGUUCUAGAAGCCAUGGAGCCAGCUUCAGAGCUUGUUUAUCCCAUAUAUAUGAUUGCAAGUGUAGACUGGUAUGUAUUUGUUUCCCUAUAAGAAUUGACUGGUAUGUAUAUGUUUUGAUGCUUAGGGGGUGUUAACCUAGUCAAGGUCCGGGUGCACCUUCUGAUCCCCUAGUUUUUCUUUCGCUUGUCGAGACUUCUUUAUUACGCUCUUUGUACAAUUAUCUUGUACAUUGAAUUCUGAUCCACUGAAAUAGUUCAACAGAUAAACCAAGCCUCAAAAGAAAAGAUAAAUGAUCUUUUUUUUUUCGUUUAAAUACAAUUGGGAUAUUACAAAUUAAUUUUUAUUAGGUCUGAGAAACUGCGUUCAAGAAAACUGGUAAAAAAAUGAGGCAAAGUUUGGAACAGAUUGUAGUCUUAAUUUUACUCUAGUCCUUUUGCUGUAAUUGUUUUUAUCUUUGCAUUCAUGUUUCCUCUGACCUUGUUUCUCUGUUUGCCUAAAUAAAGUCACGAUGCAGUUGUCAAGAGAGGGGAGGAGCUUCUGAAGAAGAAGGGUUCCGCUGCUAAUUUGGAUGAUCGACGUCUUAUAAACAAACUAUUUUUCCUAUUUAACGGUAUGGGAAGUAACUUUGUUUAUUAGUUCAAUUAGAUGGAAUUAACUGACGGCUGCAACUAGUAAUUCCAGCUAAUAUACCACAUAAUUUUUUUUCUUGAUGAAACAUGAUUUUUAAAAAUAAGAACAGUCAUGCAAGCAUUUUUUUGGUCUGAUUAUAGUUUGUUUUAUAAAUGUUGUCCUAGUUUUCUGCUUUAUAUUUCUUCUGAUGAGCUAAAAUCAGCUACAAAUACAUGUUCCAAUACAUGUAGGUUCUACAGGUGCCGAAAAUAGUGCUUCAGAAUCUCGGGUGAAACCUGGGAGUAUUGCUCUGAAAGGAAAACUUAUGUCUCUUUUUUGUCGAUCAAUAACAGCAGCAAAUAGUUUCCCGUCAACCUUGCAGUGCAUUUUUGGUUGCAUAUAUGGUUAGAUAUUCUAUCUUUGAUUAGUUAAUUUUUCUAAAUCAUCUCAUUUGGCAAUAAUAUCAGUAUAUUUUUUGUCAUGUAUUCGGGCACCCAAAGGCCAAAAUAAGAAAAAUGAAUGACCUCCAGGAAGUAGAGCAAGGAACUUUCAAGGAUAUUCACUAUCGCUACAUUAAAAACCCAAACAGAAGCAUUCAAUCUGCAUAUUCCUCAAACUUCCUCCAUUUUCACUUUUACUGGCCUCCUGAUAGUUUUUCCAUGUUAUGUUGGUUAUUUAUCACUCUUAGAUUUUGUGUUCUAGACUGUUGAUAUAUUCAUUUCUAGACUAUUGAGGGUGCUAUAGAUAUGUCAACCUAGUUGAGAUAUUUGGGUGCAUCUACUGAUUCCAAAUUUCUAUGUUUCUGAAUUGUUGCUCUUUUAUGUCAUUAUUUUAAGCAUUGACCUCUUUUCAUUUCAUUUCAUCAAUGAAAAGUUCUAUUUUUGUUUUAGAAAAUAAAAAAGAUACUCAUUUCUUUACGGGUUCUAAAUCUCAUAUGUAGGGGAUGGCACCACAUCAAGGUUGAAGCAGUUGGGUAUGGAAUUCACUGUGUGGGUAUUUAAACACGUAAGGAUCUUUUUCUUGAAAUCUUAGAAGUUGGAAUUUAUUUGAGAGAAAAAGAAACUCUAAUUUAUGUGAUUUAAGGUUUGUGCCAUAUUUUUAUUUUUAUUAUUAUUUUUAUUAUUAUUCAUAUUAUUUAUUUUUAUAUAUUCUUAAGUAUUCAGAUCAGCUUACAUGCACCUCAACUAAUCUCACAAGAGGACUCGCUUGACCCUACAACACUUAGGUGUUAAAGAAACAUGUAGGAUAUUAAAUCCUAAAUAGAUGACCACCAUAAGUUGAACCUAUAACCUCGAUCUUAGUCCUUUUAUCAAGGUUAUGCCUUACUACUUACCACCAGGCCAACUCAUGAUAGUUUGAAGUUUCUCCAACAAAAAUUUCAUAUGUUGGGUCUAUUGAAAGUUGAUGAUCUUGGCUCCAAAAAUACAGUCCUAGAGACUUCAUUUGUCAAUUAAAUGUUUCUUAUCUUAAAGAAACAUAGGGACUAUUGUUUGUGCUUGUUUUCACUUCUCUAUUUUCUUUUUUGGAAUUCAAUAAUAUUCAUGGGAAGAAGAACACAACACAGGAAAAUAAUGCUCAUCUUGCAGCAUGGUUAAUGGAAAAUUAAAAAAAAUCGGUGUCUCUUGUAUACAGUAUCUUGCCGACCUAGAAGAUAUCGCCACCCUCCUCCUUCAUACAGAUCUUUUCCAUCUUGCCAUCUUAAUAUUUACCCUCUAAGAUUCAGCCGACCUUUACUCACAUCAAGUGUUGUAACCACAACCUCUCCACCACGCUGAAGAGUGCCAUAUUGUCUGUCUAAAAGAGGAUCCAUCAUCUAUGCAGUAUCUUGGUGUCUCUUGUGCCAACGAGUCAUGAUUGAAAAACUUUCAUGUAGAGUAACUAUCAUAUUGUCUCAGACUUUUGGUGACUCUCACAUCUCAAUUUGUUUGGGUUUUUGCAACUCCUUUUUGUACUCCAUUCCUCAUAGUGGAAUCAGUUAUUUUAGCAAGACAACUUUGCAGAUUUCUUCUUCUCUUCACCACUUCAACAACAAUUUGUUCUAAUUCCUAAUCUUAUUUUACAUCUUUUUAUGUUUGUCAGAAGAUUCUUUUAAUAGAUUAAGUUCUUCCAUCAUUUUUCAUCCUCUCCCCAACGGAAGGUAGUAUUCCCGUUCUUCUUUCUUCCUUGCGCUUUAUUGCCACAAACUUUCACAAAUCUUUAGGAUAACUCCUAUCAUUCUCUUUUUCUGUCCAAGAGGCAAAAACAUAGUUUGGUCUAAAUUGGCAAUUGCAUAUACAACUGGUCAGAAGAAAAGAUCAACUCCAUGCUUUUACCAAAACAAUGAGCUGAUUCCAAUCCUCAAGACAAAUGGUAGAUCAUGUCUACCCCUUUCGAAUCUUAGCGCUACUUCUGAUUUCUCUUCACAUGUGACACUCACACUGUACUGCCUGUAUACAACGCCAGCUGCACUUCUUAUACUUUCAACCUUUCAUUUGUCAUUGUGAAACAUGGAUCCGUCAUCCGUUGUGAUUUUAUUUGUUUAUUUUAAUAAGAAACAAAUGAUUGACUCAUAGGAUUUUAAGUUUGUUAAAUUGAUAAAAACAACUGACGGUAAGAUGAGUCAUUUAAGAGACUGAUUUCUCACCUCUUGAUACUGGAAUCUGUCACCACCUCUUAUUCUUCAUUGCUUCUCUAUUUGUACUGUAUUUUGUCCGAUUUAGUAUGUAUAAGAAAAUGUUGCAGGCAAAUGGCGAUCAACUUAAGCUUAUGAGCCCUGUUAUACUCAACGGAAUUCUGAAGUCACUUGACGGGUAUUCAAAUUCAGCAUCAGGUCCAUACUUAUGAGGCUAUCUAUCAUAUUUUAUGUUUUUGUGUCUUUCACACCUUUCUAAUAUUUGAUAUUGUAGUAGAACCAUAACUAUAUUGAUCUGAUCCACGCAUUUUACCAGAUUCUACUACCAGAGACACAAAAACCUUUGCUUUUCAAGCAAUUGGAUUGCUUGCUCAGCGCAUGCCUCAACUAUUUAGGUUAGCCCCUGUCUAGUGCUUGGUUGUCUGAAUUUCAUUUAUGUUUCUUUUGUGCAUUUUAUUUCAGCAGUUCGGAAUAAAUCUUUCUAGUUAGGGAAAUAUUAUGAUUAUUAUUUAUUAGCAUGGUUAUUAGUAAUGGCAUAUAAGUAAUUAGCCAAGGAGUUUGUUAGGUUCAUUAGUUAUAGGAGGUGUUUGGCCCAAGGAUUUGGGAAGUAGGGAGUUUAGGAGAGUGAAGUUGUGAGCUCUACUCAUAGUUUCAGUCCAGGAGUUCGCAGGUCCCACCAUGAAACAACAUCAUUUCAUACCAUAUUAACUCUUUACGUAGCCAGUGGGCCUCUAGGAGUUCACAACUCUCUAAAUUUCAUAAUUCUAUAGAGUUCACAAGUCCACUUUAUGUCCCAACCACCACUUGAUGCUCUUGCAUUUCUUGUGUUCUAGAAGCUUUCUAUUUAGAAGGUAUCCUAACAAGCUGAUUUUCGUCUUCACUAAUUGCAGAGAUAAAAUUGACAUGGCUGUUCGUCUUUUUAAUGCUUUGAAAAUGGAGGCCCCAUCUCUUCGUUUUGUUGUUCAAGAGGCGACCAAUUUGCUUGCUGCUGCUUAUAAGGUUUGCUCUAAGAUAUUAAUAAAUGGUCCGUCAUUAGAUAGUCUUUAGCAUGCAAUUACUUGCAUAAGUGAGUGAUUGGAGAUACUUAUUUUGUUCGAUAAGUGGUUUGGAGAUAAACUCUUGUGCUCGAAUCAAAGAUAAACUCUUAUGCUCAAAUCAUUUUGUGGCAGUUUUCAUAUAUCUUUCUAGGAGCUCUUCUUCAUUAUUGGAAGGAUUUUGUUGUCCAUUGUCUGAUGGGGAAAUGACUAAUUACUCUUUAGGUAUCAUUUUAGUUGACGGGAGCUAUUUUCUUUAGUUUGGCUACCUUUUUGUGGCAUGGUUUUUUUUGGAUGCUUUUGUAUAUUUUUUUCUUUUCCUCAUUGAAAGUGUGGCUGUUCAUUAAAGAAACAAAAAAGAUCAUAUCAUUAUUCCGUAUCUGAUCCACAGGAGGCUCCAACUACAGUGUUGAACGAGUUAGAGACCCUUCUUCUUAAAAAUUGUCAGGAGGUACAAGUUUACAUCUACUUUUUGCUUCCCUUUUUUCUUUCUUGUAAUCAAGUCUCAUUAGUUUCUUGUUGCUUCUGAAUCGAUUUCUAAUUCUAUAAUGCUAAACAGGAAGAAGGUGAAGUGAGGUUUUGUGCUGUGAGAUGGGCUACAAGGUUAUUUCAUUUGCAACACUGUCCAAGUCGGUUUAUUUGUAUGCUUGCUGCAGCAGAUUCCAAAUUGGACAUUAGGUACCUUACCACUCCAUUUUGAAAUAUUAAAGUUCUAUGGCAUGGAAUGCUAAAUGAUGUGUGGAAAAUGUUUUGCGAUUCUUAAUAAGAACUCUAAGUACAAGAGAUUUAUACAAAGAGAGCAAUAAAGAAGAAAUAAUCAGGGGAGUCCUAGGGGGAUCAGGAGAUGCACCCAGACAUCUCAACUAAGUUGACACCCCCGUAGCGCCAAGCAUCAUCCCAAAAAAUAAACUUCAAUGCAAACAAACCAACAAAGAAACAACCUAAUAACAAUCAACCUAAUACAAGGGUCUAGAAAAACUGGAAAAACAUGACUAGAAAAUGCAGAAAAGAUCCAAAAAUACAAUCUCAAAAUUAAAAUUUAAACAUGGCCACACCUACUGAUCCUUUCUCUCUUUCUCCCCCUCAUUUCUUGGAUUCCCUAUUAUUCUCAUUGUAUAGCUCUCUUGUACAUUGAGUUUAUUAAUAAUAAAAAAGCUUGUCUCCUUUUCAAAAUUUUUUUUAAACAAGGCCAAAACUUCAACGCUUCAAAGCUUUAGACUGUGAUAGCUGCAAUGCAGAGAAAUUGAUACAGCAACGGUUAGGCUUGAUUAAGAAAGGCAUUUCGGUUGAGGUAAAUAUCUUGAAUGGAAUAAUUAGCGAACUCCUUUUUUAAGGAACACCAAGCUGCAGCAUUAAGAUCUACUGCACGCAUAAUUUCUGCCCUCGAGAUUUUUUGGGUAAAAUCAGACUCGACAGUAGCUGAACCACACUAGUGCUUAGAGAACGAUCAAAAGUCCAAACUAAAUUGAACAAGGUGAAAAUCCAUUCCCUGCCAAAGGAAGAGACGAGACAGUAGAAGAAAAUGUGAUAAAGGAUCUCACUAGCCUUCAAGCAUAGUGGACAAAUCAAAGAAGAGAGACAUUUAUUGGAGGAUUUCUUUUGCAAAAUUUCUGAAUUAUUGAGGGACACGAUGACUAUAGUCCAGAUCAAAAUGUUAAUUCUCCGAGGGCUGAUUGAUUUCUAGAUUGCUGAAAAAAGAAGUUUAUCAAUCUGGGAGGCUGUUUUUAGGUGAGCCAAAAGAGACUUAAUGGAAAAUCGUCCAUGGGGAUCAAUGGACCAUGAUCUAAAGUCAUUGGAAUUAACCACUUUUUCAGUUGAGAGGAGGGUAGAAGUAACUGAAAUUCUGCGAUUUCUUCAUCUUUCAAGCUUGAUUUCUUCAUCUUUCAAGCUUCUUUUAAAGGCCAAUGACCAAGAUGAAGUAUCAUGGUCCCGAUGUGCUGCUACUGACACGGAGGGCAAAAGAGCAAUUCUAAAGAGUCUAGAGAACUGCUCCUUGAAGGGGUGUUACCAACCCAAGAAUCUGACCAAAAAUCAAUUCUAUGACAGUUACCAAGAUUAAAAGAGGCUAAAGAGUCAACCAACCUCCAAACUCUAGCAGUGCUGACCCAAGGGCAUCUUAGGCUGUUAUCGGACUUCUCUUGAGUGAACCAAUCAAAGAUCUCCUUACCAUGGAUGCUGCUAAUUAUUUUCCUCCAAAGAUUUGAUUCUUCUUUCGAGUAUCUUGAACCCCAUUUAGCAAGCCUGCAGUGUUGUGAAUUUUAAUUCCUCCUAGGCCGAAACCCUUAUCUUCUAGAGGAGAUGAAACCUUGUUCCAGUUAGCAAGGUGGUUGAUUUUGCUACCGGCAUGACCUCCCAAAAGAAGUUCCGCAUGAUUCUCUCCAAAGAGGCAGCCACACAUUCAGGUAUUGAAAAUAAAGAAAGGUAACAAGUGGGAAGACUAACCUGAACUGAGUUGCAUAAGGUAUGUCUUCCAUCUCUAGAGAUGUAUCUUUUCCACAUAUCUAGUUUCUUGUGAAUUCAAUCAAUGACUGGUUGCGGAAACACCUUUUGUCGAGGAUAGCCUUCCAAAAGGAAACCUAAAUAUAAGAUCGGUAACUUUUAUGCCUUGCACCCUAGUAGAUUUGCUGUUUGAAUCAAAUCAUUCUCUCCCACGUUAACACCACUAAGGGCAGAUUUCUCCUAGUUUACUUUAUGCCCUGAACACUAUUUGAGUAAACUUAUGGCUUCCUUAAGCUUAAAAAUCAUCUUCCCAUCAUACUUUAGAAGAGUGUCAUCGGCAAAUUGAAGAAAAGAGAGAUGGAUAAUGUCUUUGCCAACAAGGAAACCUUCAAACUGACCGCUGCUAUGAAGCUUGCUUAUGAUUCCUCCUAGAACCUUGCUUACUAAGAGAAAUAGGAAGGGGGAGAGGAGUCCCCUUGGCAGAUACCUCUAGAUGCUGUAAUUCGGCCUCUUGGCUUACCAUUAAUGAAUACUGAAAAUUUUGGACUUCUUAUGCAGCCCAUUAUCCAUGAAAUCCACGUGGAACUGAAUUUUUUAAGGGACAAUAUCUUUUCUAGAAAAAUCCAAUCCACUCUAUCAAAGGCUUUUCAAGAUCAAGUUUUAAAAUCUAGCAUUUUUUCCUUUUUGCCAUGUAGUCUUCCAUUGCCUCGUUAGCAAUUAAUAUAGGCUCAAGAAUCUGCCUACCUUCAAUAAAAGCACAUUGGGAAGGACUUACAAUUGCAUCCAUAACUUGUUUCAAACGUUCGGAGAGAACCUUUGCAACUACCUUGUAUGUUAAGGUAGUAAGGCUGAUUGGGCGGAAAUCCUUGACUAGAGUCGCGUUCUCUUUUUUCUGCACUAAACAAAUGAAAUUUUUUUGAAUGCAAGCGUUUAAUCUUCCAUUUUUGUGGAAAUCAUCCAUUAAGGAUUUGAAAGUAUCCUUGAAAAUAGACCAAUGUUUGAGAAGGAACUCCGCUGUGAAUCCAUCGGGGCCCGGAGCUUUAUUGCUGCCAAGUGCCUUUAAAGCUUUUAAAUUUCCUCCACUGAAAAUUGAGCAACAAGAGCUACGUUCCGAAUUGAGGAGACAGAAGGCCAUUCGCUGUUAAUGGAAAUGAAUCUGUCCCCUGGAAUUUUUUUAUAAAGUGUCUUGAAGAAAUCUAGCACCAGCCUUUCAAUAUUGUGGAACAAAAAUGACACAACCCCAUUAUCAUCUUUUAAUUCUGUAAUGAGAUUCCUUCUUUUCUUUGCAUUUAAAAAGCGGUGGAAGAAACUUGUGUUCUCAUCACCCAAAGUCAACCAAUUAAGUUUGGUUUUUCAAAUGUAGUUGCACUCUUCACUUUGGUAAAUACUGAGCAAUUCAGCUUGCAGAGCUGUUCUAGUACCCAAUUCCUCUUCAUUUAGCCCAAUCAAUUCUGCCACGGAACUGUUAUAAAUUGAAAAUAUUGAUUUUCCUGUAGUUGACCAUUUGAUUUAGAAUUUCAUGCUUCAAAGAGGAGAUACAUUAUUUUCUGUUUAGAUGCUGAAGAUAGACUCAGAGAAAAUUUCUCAUUCUUAUUCUCCCAGGUAUAUCUAAACUGUGGUAGCGAGGAAGAAUCCACUGAUCGCUUGUUUCUGGGAUGGUCUUUGGCUUCAGUUAGUUGGUCUAGACUCUAACGUUUUUUAUAAGACUUAAUGUAUACAGUAUACACAAUAAUAUGAAUAUUACCCCUCCAAAACUCUUACCCAGUUGCUGUAUUUAAGGAAAUGCUAGCAUUUUGUGGACUCCUUCAACUGAAACCAUUCUCUGUGAUCUAUAGAUUAAAAGAAUCAAUAGGCUCUUAAAGAUAGAAAGAGAGCUUAACGUGUAUUGAGGAGUGGUACAGCACAUCAUUUUCUCUUGAGUAACAUUUCACCAAACUGUUGGGAAUUUACACGAGAUAUAAAUAAAUGCGGAAUAGACUAAAUUAUAUUUCAAAUUCCCAUUUCAUAGGUUAGAGCCAAAUAAGCAAUCGACUAUAUCGUGACUACGUUCGGUCUUCUGCAACUGCAGGUUCUACUAUAAUGCAGAUUGAAAAGACACCCCAAACAUGCUUACAAAUCUCUCUUCCCAAAUAACCCAACAAUAACCAAGUACUAACAAAUUGGUAACUUGAAAUAAACAAUAAAAGAAACCCUAAACCCAAUUUCUCACUCCCACACUAAAAUAACACACUGGAAAAAUUCAGUCUGGUGAUAUCUCUAAAAUAACACACUGGAAUUAAAAUUUGGUGGGGUUGUAUUUCUCAACUUUAGGCAAGAAAAGCUUACGCUCUGUACUUCAUGACACACAAUAUGUACACAAAAUUUCUUCUAAAAUUUAUCUUCUUUCAAUUAAAACCUUUAAAUUAACCCAUUAGAAUACUUGCUUAUGGAAGUUUAUUAGAAGAGAGAUAAGCAACUUUAUUUUCUUCUCCCACCACACUUAUCUGUUUUUACUUAAAAGGAAAAAUCACCUUCAAUUUUAAUUGGCAAGCUUAUUGGUUAAGUAAACGAGUUGGGCCAAAAUGUGGGCUUGGAGUUUUGGCUUCAAUUCCUAACACAAACUUCUUUGAGGCUCCCUUGAAAUGCCCUUAUUUUCAAUUUGGUUCCUUUUGUAAAUUUCCAUUUUUGAGUGCUCGGGAGGAGAUUCCUUGUUCAGUUGGUCCCAUUUUCCCUCCUCGCAUGCUCUCUCACUCUUUUUAUAAUGAAUGUUUUUCUCUCUUAUCAAACGAAAACCAGAGAUACAUUUGUUUCAUGCAGUACGCUUUUCACAUUCUUGUCUUAUCAUCUUUUUUUUUUUUUUAUUUCCUUUCUCUUAGCUUCUUUCUUUUCCCAUUCUCUCGAUGUUUAUUGAUGGGACUCAAUUUCUUAAAUUACUCUUUUCUUGUUUUAGGGAAAUGGCCCUUGAGGGUCUUUUUGGAGCAAAAGGUGAAGCCCGAACGACAACUCAAACUCAUGACGUUAAAUAUCCAAAUUUUGGGGUCAUGCUAGAUUACAUUAUUAAGCAGCAGCCAUUGUUGUUAUGUUCAACUGAGUUGAGGGAACAACGGCUUCUUUUUUCAUCUCAAACGUACAUCGCAAUGAUAAAAUUUUUGCUAGAAUGCUUUGAGGCAGAGUUGCAGUAUGAUGAUUCUUCUGAACCGUUAUCUACUUAUGAGUCUUCUGUGGAAACUAUGUGCUUAUUUUUAGAACAUGCUAUGGCAUAUGAGGGCUCUGUUGAGUUGCAUUCUACUGCUUUCAAGGCAUUGAUUACCAUUGGAUCUUAUUUACCAGAGGUGGGUUGCUUUUUCUUAAAACUAUCUUCGGCCAUAUUCAUCUUCACUUUGCUUGAUGUUCUUGUGGUGGUGUGGUUAUUCUGUACAGGUGAUAUCAAAACAUUAUGCAUCGAAGGUUUCCUGGAUAAAGAGUUUUCUUAGUCACAUAGAUAUCAAUACUCGUGAAUCUGCAGCACGCUUACUUGGAAUAGCUUCUUCUGCACUGACAACAUCGGCAUCAUCAUCUGUUAUUGAAGAACUAUUGACCACAAUUAAUGGAGCACAUAAUUUAAGGUGGAAGCAGUACUAGAUGGAAAUGGAGAUUUAAUAAUCAUGUUUCUUUCUUAUGUAGGAAACAAAAAGGUUAUAUUUCUGUCUUUUGUAUGUUGAGUUUAUUCUUGGAUUUGUUUAUUCUGCAGGUUUGAGACUCAGCAUGGAUUGCUAUGUGCUAUAGGAUUUGUUACUGCAGACUGUGUUUCCAAAACACCGAUAGUAAGUUGAUUAAUUUCUCUUUCUCCCUACCAAAUUUCUUGUCAAUAUUUUAUUCUGUGUGUUCGCUCGCUUUUCCUCCCUUUCCUUCUUUCUUUCUUCUGACAGGAAGAUAUAAAUUUUUGUUGCUGGAUGGGAGAUGAAUUUUCCGUGUUGCAUAAAAUUACCUCUGUAUCGUGGGUUUUUAUUCCAGAAGAGUGUCAAUAUAUUCUUUCAGUUUCUUUAUUAAUCAAUAGAAAGUUUGUUUUAAUUUUUUCUCCUUCUUUUAAGAUUGGACUUCUUAUUGCAUUUUGUAAUCCUUGUUUUUAGUUAGGCCCUAUGUUAUUUGUACAUUCUCAUCAAUAUCCACAUAUUCUCUAGUUCCUUUCUUUCUUUCUUUUCAUGAAAAGCUUAACUUUAAUUUAGGAAUUGAAAAUGCUUAGAUUGCCAGCUCCAGCUCCAGCUAUCACUUUCACCUUCAAGCAAAAAGGUGCAGAACCAUCUGACAAGUUUAUCCUUAGUUGUAAGAAAAUGACAGAUGCCUUGAAAAUUAGUUGCUAGGAGAAACCCAGAUAUUAGAAUAAAAGCUUAUGGUGCUCAAUAUUUAAUUCUUCAGAACAUUAUCCUUAAAAGAUAAAUAUUUUUUCCCCAACCAAAUAUACGACUGGCUUAGAACCAGAAGUCAGAUAAGGCUAUUCAAGAUACUCGUCAAUAAAUUUCACCAUUUUGUCAUAUUUAUAUUUAUUGGUCCCGUUUAUUAUAUCAUAUGCUAUGCCAUAUCUAUUUUGAAUAAGAGAGAUUAUUACCAAUAGAUUCUACUUAUAUUUAUGUUAAUUAGAUCUCGUCUCAAGUUUAUUUAUUGGCUAGAGAUGCAGUCGUUAACCUUAACAUUUUCACAGAUUACUCAGACAUUGCUUGAGGAUACGCUCAAGUGUUUGGUUGGCAUUGUUAAUUCUGAGACUGCAGUAAUAUCGUCGGUGGCAAUGCAGGCCAUUGGUCAUAUAGGGUUGCGUAUACCAUUGCCACCACUUAGUAGUAAUUCUGAGACAGGUAAUCAUAGUUAUCCCAGUUGGGAGUUUUAGGGUUUUGUUGUUCAUGCUUUGUGGUUUUUUUCUAUGUACUUAUAUACUUGACUAAAGUGAAUGCAGUUGAUGUUUUGAUGACUUUACGUGACAAGUUGAGCAAGCUAUUGUUGGGUGAUGAUAUUAAUGCAAUUCAGAAGAUUCUUUUAUCCAUUGGACAUAUAUGUUUUAAGGAAUCAUCAUCAACAUGUCUAAAUGUUGCCCUGGAUUUAAUUUUCCAUCUGUGCCGGUGCAAGGUGAAUUUGAUCUACCUGUUAUUUUUACUUACCUAAGCUUGUUUUUAUUUUUAGCAAAUGGGCAACUAGUGUAAUUUAAUCGUAUUUUCUUUUAUCCUAAUCUAAUUAGAAAGGUAGGAACUUCAUUGUGUCCAUUCUAUGUGAUCAUAUAAUUAUCACAUUGAACUUUUAGGUAAGUAAUAUGAGAUAGGAGUUCAAACUAAAACUUUUAGGACAAAUUUUAUUCAUAUUUGUAUUGUAUCCUUGUGUUUUAUUUGUUUUUAUUUCUUGGGUGUUAUUUCUAUUUUGCUCUUUUUUUCUUUUCUCAGUCUACUCCUAUGAAGUCUAUUAUUUCUCUUCUCUGAUAAUCUUUUCUUCUUUAAUAAAAAAUGUUGUUUCCCUUUUUAGAAAAAGUAAAAUUUUGUCGGAAUCAAAUCUUCAUUCAAUCUUGAUUCUUAUGAUUUCUCCCCCGCGCUAAUAGUUGUGCUGUAAAGUUCUCCUUGUUAGUUGAGGACAACUUAUGGCAAGUUCUUCCUUGUAACAUCCUAUUUUGUAUAUGAUCAAAUCUUAUACAUUAUGACUUCGUGCACUGCCAAUUUCAGGUUGAAGAUAUUCUUUUUGCUGCUGGGGAGGCUUUGUCCUUUCUAUGGGGUGGUGUUCCUGUGACUGCUGAUGUGAUUCUCAAAACCAAUUAUGCAUCUCUUUCUUCUGCAUCAAACUUUCUUGGGGGAGAUGUGAACUCAUAUUUGCUAAAAUAUAAGUGCAAUGUAGCAGGAACAGAUGAAACCACUGAAAAAUUUCAUGCUAUGGUUAGAGAUUCGAUAACCAAAAAACUGUUUGAUGAUCUCUUAUACAGUACAAGGAAAGAAGAGCGCUGUGCUGGAGCAGUCUGGCUUGUAUCACUUGCAAUGUAUUGUGGUAAUCAUCCAGCCAUCCAGCAAAUCCUUCCAAAAAUUCAGGUCUGUGUCUAAUAAGCAUAUUUAAGGGAACAUUUGGGGUUGAGAUAGAUCUCUUUUUCGCUCCAGAUGUUUGGAUGUAGAACUUCUCGCUACAGUAUUUGAAUUUGGUGAUUUUGUUGACUUUUCAAUUUAAUUAUUAUUCCAUUGCUACAAACUGGCCUGUGAAAUGAAAGCAAUAAUUCAAGUCACAGUAAAAUCAGCAAAUUUAAUUUAUGAAUUAUUAGUUGCAUCUCUGACGUGUUUUUAGUUUUUAGACUUGGCACUGAAAAAAUUUAAUCUUGAUGAUUUUAGAAUAUCUUGUCCAUUCCAGAUUCAAAAGAUAUAUGUGUUUACCUGUAUGCAGGAAGCCUUCUUCCAUCUAUUGGGUGAGCAGAAUGAACUUGUACAGGAGUUGGCUUCACAAGGAAUGAGCAUUGUGUAUGAAUUGGGUGAUUCAUCAAUGAAGACAAACUUGGUAAAUGCUCUUGUCGGCACUCUGACUGGUUCAGGGAAGAAAAAAAGAGCAAUUAAAGUAAGCCAGUGUUUUGAUCUCUAUAUUUGUUGUCUCUUUUCUUUUUCCUUUCCUUAGGUACUCCCUUUUCUAUUUUUGGUGGUGUGAAUCAGAGACUCACAUAUUUAUUUAUCAGCUUGUUGAAGACAGUGAAGUUUUUCAAGAAUCAAUCGGUGAGAAUCCUAGUGGGGGAAAAAUAAGCACCUAUAAAGAACUUUGCAGUUUGGCGAAUGAGAUGGGACAACCAGACUUAAUUUAUAAGUUUAUGGACCUAGCGAACCACCAAGCAUCAUUAAACUCCAAGAGAGGUGCUGCGUUUGGGUUCUCUAAGAUAGCAAAGCAAGCUGAGGAUGCGUUGAAGCCUUAUUUGCAUUCAUUGAUUCCAAGGCUUGUUCGAUACCAGUAUGAUCCUGACAAAAAUGUGCAGGUAUUUCAUAUGCAACCUCACAUGCCUUUGAUGAAAUCAACAAUAAAUCUAGUUCAGGAGUUAACAAUUGAUCAUAGUGUUUUUCAUUCAAUGUUAUGAUUUAUUAUAGGGCAAAUAUAGCCAAAUAAACCAAAAUAUUUUUACAAAAUAUAGCAAAAAUAUCAGUCUAUCUAUUAUGGACCACAAUAAACCAAAGAUAAACCACUAUCCAUACCUAUCUAUCAAGAGAGACACACAAGUAGUCUAUCGAGGUCUAUCAAAAUUAUAUGUUUUGCUAUAUUUAUAAAUAUUUUUAGAAAUUUUGUCAUUUAAAAUAAUUUUCCUUUAUUAUAUGGAAUUUUGUUUGGUCAGGGGGUUGAAUGACAUGUGGUACUAACUGCUCAGGAAGCUUUACGCUUUUUUCUUUUCAUCCCAUCUGUUAAUAUAUAGCAAACUGGUUGUUUUUGUUUAUGUAGUGCAAUUUCUUGAUGUAAUUAACAAAACUUGAAAAAAAUAAUAGCAUAAGAAAAAAUUUCUAGUUGCUUUAAAAUUAGGGCUAUUUUUAAAUAUAGUAAAAUGAACCAAAAUAUUUUUAUCAUAAGAAAAAAUUUCUACAAUUGAUUGAGAUGAUAGACAUCUACAGUGGUCUAUCUUGGUUUAUCACAAAUAGACAGACUAUGAUAUUUUGUUAUAUUUGUAAAUAUUUUCAAAAGUUUUACCAUUUACACAAAUUUCCCUUCAAACUAUUUUCAUAUUAUUUGAAGUUUAAACUACCCUUUUAGUUUUAUUAUAACUAUAUAUAUUAACAAAUAGUGUGAGCUUACAACAGUAUUCUUUCAUGUGCAAAUAUACUUUAAAAUAUUAAUGAUGAGAAAAACCUCUGUUGUUAAUUUUUUAAACAAAGUGUAUGCUUUAAUAUUAUUUUACAUAAGUAUUGAUCAACAUGAUUUAACCGUGCAAAUAGCAUAAUCGUUUUAUUAUUUAUUAAAGGAUAGAAAUAUAUAUUAUCUGUGGAAGGGCUUUAGGGUAGGAGUUUUGGAACUACAUUUUUGUCUAUCUAACCUUUUAUAAAAUCUGAAACUAAUACACUCCUAUACUAAACGUAACUGGAUUUGGGCAUGUUGUGGUUGAAUUGUAGGGGGUUUUUUACUACUUUAUUUUAUAGUGAAGUUUAAGUGUUAUUGUGGUUGUAGUUGGGCAUUUUGUUACUUGAUGUUUGGUAUGUUGUAGGUUGAAUUUUGUGUGAUUUGUUGGUUAGUUGGUUCAUAGGUAACUUUUUGUCUUUAUUGGAGAAUAUAUUAAGGUCCGAGUUCAAUAUACUGAAAUUAAAAGGAUGAAGUGGACUCGCUAAUUUAGUAGAGUCAAAUUGAGUUUUAUUCCUUAGAAUUUAUAUUUGCCAAUAUAUAAGGGACAGAAGUCUAUGCUAUUGAAGUUUUAUGAAUAAGAUAAAUAUAAACUUCAAAUUAUGUGAAUUUUUUUUAUAAGAAACAAUUUCAUUGAUGAUAUGAAAUUACAAAAAGAGAAUAAACCCUAAGACAAAAUAGUAAUUAGAACUUAUUAUUUCAAUAAAAAGCUUUGUUUCCAUUUUACAUCAGAAGUCCUACCAAAGAUAUUUAUAGUAUCUGUAUAAAAAGAUAGCCACCUGUUAUUAUUAAAUUCAUUAGGGACAGAGGUUUUUGGAUAAUGCAGAAAUCAUGAUAAAGAAAUUCAAUUUUAUUUAUACAUUCACUCUAUAAUCGUGUUUCACAAAAGAACUGAAUUACACAAAUAGUUAUAAGAAAAAUAAUGACUCUAUAACAUGGAAUUUGGUUUUCUAUUUGCUUUUGUCCAUGCUAAAUUCAUAUAUUUGGUAAUGCAUCGACUUUAAGCCGCCUCUUUUAAAUCACUUCAUUAUGGUGAGAUGAAAGUUAAUAUGUUUCUAGCAUACGUUGUUUCAUUAGUCCAACGUGUGCACUACUUUUUCAUUAAGUUACCAUCCUCAAAAGUUUGGCAUAAAAUAAUCUUUAUUCUUGUGAUUUUCUAGGAUGCAAUGGCACAUAUUUGGAAAUCACUAGUGGAUGACUCGAAGAAAACAAUCGAUGAAAAUUUAGAUCUUAUAAUAACUGAUUUAAUAACACAAAGUGGAUCUAGGCUUUGGCGGUCACGAGAAGCAUCUUGUCUUGCCCUUGCGGACAUUAUACAAGGACGAAAAUUUAGUCAGGUAGCUAUCAUAUUGGCUAUAGAUAUCCUAAGAAUCAUUUUAGUUGACAACAUGAGUUUCUUCAUGUCGGCAUGCUUGUUUAAUGGAAAGUGAGAGUGGAUGAAAUUUGGUUCUUAGCUCAGAGGUGUAAAAGUCUUCAAGUUCCAUGGGUGCUCUCUGCAGGUCGCUCAAACUGAACAAAGGAUUUUACCUUGUGAAUUAUGUUUUCUUCUCCAGCAGGAUUUGACAAUAGCAUAUACAACAUAUAUUAACGAAUAUAAUGACAUAUGAAUUAAAUUUUUUUAUAUAUUACAGCGACUUAUCUGGUGUUAUUCAACAUUUUAAUUAUUUUCCUAGAUUUGGACACUCGUUUUUCUUCAAAUUUUUUAGCUUACAAUUUGGUUCAGAAUUUGGAUAUAACAAAUCUCUCAUUGAAGAUCAAGCAAAAUACCUCAACAUCAAUCUAAAAAAUUCCGUUUAGUCAUAUGAGAUCUAUGGAUAAUUUCUUUCUCAUUAUUAAUCUUUCUAAGGCUUGCAGGUGUGGCAUUCUUUUCUUCUUUAAUUUUAAAUGGCAUACAUUAUUAACUCUUUUACAUGUAGGUAGAGAAGCAUCUGGAAAAGUUAUGGUCAGUAGCAUUUCGAGCCAUGGAUGAUAUUAAGGAGACUGUUCGAAACUCUGGAGACAAGCUAUGUCGUGCCAUUACUUCAUUAACAAUAAGACUCUGUGAUGUCUCUUUAACAGGACUGGCAGAUGCUAGUAAGGCAAUGAACACUGUUCUCCCUUUUCUUCUUUCAGAAGGAAUAAUGAGCAAAGUUGAUAGCAUUCGCAAAGCAUCCAUUGGUGUAGUGAUGAAGCUUGCAAAGGUUAGUUUUGCUUGAAUUCCUCUUUCUGUGUUUUAUAUUUCUUUUCCAGCAGUAUCGUAAGUUUAAGCCUAGGAAGAAAAAGUUGAUCUUGAUGUGUCAAUGUUCAAAGAUUAGGAUUUGAUUCUUCAUUUCAACGAAGGCAUAUAUUAUUGGCUAUUUUUUUCUUCUUUUUUUUUUCUUUUUCUUUUUUAAUUCUUGAACAUUUGUGAGGCUGUGCUUCUUUUCUGAAGACCCUGUUCCCUUUUCCUUAUUUGCAGGGUGCAGGAAUUGCUAUUCGUCCACAGUUAUCUGAUUUGGUCUGUUGCAUGCUCGAAAGCUUAUCUAGCCUUGAAGAUCAGGGACUCAACUAUAUUGAGGUUGGUUUGGUUAAAUUGUUUGGCACAAAUUCUUUUGUAAGCUCUAUUGCUUUAGAUGUAUGACUGUGAAUUCUUUUAUAAGCUCUAUUUCUCUAGAUAUGUGGCUUAGGCAUUAAUUCAGAAGUUGAGGUUAGAAAGCUGAAAUACUUGGUGUAUGUUGGAUUAUAGAAUUGAGGUAUUCCCUUUGGAAUGCUUGGGUGGUUUGCAUUAGUAGACUAGGAGUAGGGGGUCAUCUGAAAGGCAACAGAUCUGGAGGUUAAUGUUGCAUUUAUUUGUUUUAUGUUGUUUCCCUUUUUCUAUUCAUAAUUGCUGCAUUUUACUCAGAUAUUGUUGGAAAAUCUUUUUUUUUCCCCUUGAUUACUAUUAUAAUAUGGGAGUUUUCUCUUGUUUGCUUUUUGGCCAGUCGCUAUUUCUAUAAAAAUAGCAGAAGCAGAAGAGAUUAGGAAUUUAGGAUAAAGUUCAGAUAUUCCAAGGUGUCAGUAAAUCCAUUUCUGUUUUUUUGAAAAAGAUGCUCAGCAUCCAUGACGGUCGAUUUAAUAGAGUUGAAAGUUUCUGUUACACAUUCUUUGGGUAAAAUUUAAGAAGUCGUCUAUACUGCAAGAGAUCAAUCAAUUACCAUGGGUGCCUACUGAUUAUCAGUGUAUAAUACAUUUUCUAUAAGAACAAGCCACUUGUCACAAUCGCAACCUUCCAAACACGAUAUGAGCGAUUGUGCGGCACUUGUUCGAUCCUUUCAACAAGUCAGCCGAUCAAAAUCCGCAAGUCGCGGACAAACUUAACACACGAUUUAGCCUCCACUCACGUUUUUGGGAAAAUAUUUUAGAAAACGUGAAAGAGGAUUAAAUUUAUCAUUUUCUAUAAGAACAAGCAGCACCUAAAUGAAAGCCCAACUGAUUUGAAGAAAUUAUGUCUCCCUUUUGACUCUUGAGCAAAGCACAAGCCAAAACACACAUUUGCCUACCUAGCUACACCAAAUUUAUAUUUGUCAUCAUUUAUUGUAACAAACCAACUUAAUAUAACGCUAAUUAAAAAAAGAAAAGAAGUGUACAUUUCGUAUCAAUUUUUGCUGGAUAUUAUCUCAAGUUAAAAAGGUUUCUGUCUACCUAGAAUGGAUUUAAGAUUAUAUCAAUGGAGAAACAGGUAGUUUUCUGAAGGCUGGAAACUCAUUUUGAUAGCUUUAGUUUCACAGAUUUCACCAUUUUGUUAUCCUUCAACUUUUCUAAUGUCUUGCAUGGUAGCUUGUAUCCAUUUGGUAAUAUGGUUUCCAUGAACAUAAAGCUCUAUGGAAAUUUUCUUGCUAGUCCUUUUCCUUUGGUUUCUAACAUUAAACAUCUUUUCUGAAAAAUGUUGGAUUGAGGAACAAGUUUUUUUGUACAAUUUCCUCUUCUUUAUUGGGUAGUUGUUUCUUGUAGAAAAGAAAAAAGAAAAAAUUUAAUUGUUUUAUUGAAAUAUUCGAGUGGGUAUAGAUUAAGUUCAGUGUCAAAAUCUAGGAUCGUUUAAUUUUUUCCAUUUUUGGUAGCGUUACUCAAUUUCUUGUUCUUUACAGUUGCAUGCAGCAAAUGUUGGAGUGCAAACAGAUAAGCUUGAGAAUCUCAGAAUUUCAAUUGCAAAGGGAUCUCCUAUGUGGGAAACUCUAGACACAUGCAUAAAAGUUGUGGAUGACGAAUCACUAAACUCAUUGAUUCCUCGACUUGCUCAUUUGAUUCGGUCUGGAGUAGGCCUCAACACUAGGUCUGCAUGAUGCAAAACAUCUCAACUUUUAUUCAAGAACAGUUUGAGUUUUUCCUUUCCUUCUAGUUGGUGCAUUUUUUUUUUUCCUUCUAGUCUUAUGUUCAAAAUACUUGGAAGUCGCUAAUACCUUAUCUAGUGGAUGGGAUUAUGGAAUGAGAAGCGUGAACUAGAUCUGUACAUAAAGUUAUGGCAGUAGGGGUGUGGAAGAAGUUGAAUAAUGUAUGGUGAAUAAUAGAGGAUAGCGGAGGAAUAAAGAGUUCACAAUUCCCAAAACUGAACUUUGUCAUUUUCAUUGCCCUUCGGUAUUGUUGUGUGUGUAUGUAUGCAUGCGUGUUUUUUUUUAAUUUUUGGUUUUCUUUAACAGGGUUGGUGUUGCCAACUUCAUGACCUUAUUGGUUCAAAAGGUUGGUCCUGAUAUCAAACCAUAUACAAACAUGCUAUUGAGGUUGUUGUUUCCGGUGGUCAAGGAGGAGAAGAGUGUUGCUGCAAAACGUGCCUUUGCUGCUGCCUGUGCAGUCAUCAUGAAAUUUUCAGCACAGUCUCAGGUUCAGAAGUUAGUCGAAGAUAGUACAUCUCUUCAUACAGGGAACAGGAAUGACCAAAUUUCCUGUGCUCUUUUGUUGAAAAGCUAUUCAUCCAUGGCCUCAGACGUUAUGAGUGGAUAUCUUGCAGCAGUUAUUCCAGUUAUUUUUGUCUCAAGGUUUGAAGGAAACUUUUUUUUAUUAGAGUAGCCUGGCUAAACAUCAUCUUGGUUUUCGUUUUCCAUAUUGUUUCGUUAAUUCAUACUCUAAUGUACAUAGCAUAACAUUGCUUGGAGAAUCUGUAAGGAUGCCUGGCCAAAAGAAUAAGCUGCUUUAAUAUCUAAAUGAUGACUAAUAUCAAUUUGCAUUAAGGAGUUAUCUAAACUGGUUUGCCAAAUGAAAUAUUGUGAAGCCUAGUCAAAUUUUUACCUAUUACGAGUUUCAUCUGCUGUUUCUCACUAAGAAUAUCAAUGUUCUUUUGACAUAAUAUGGCAACUAAUGUUCCUUUGCGAUCACCCAGCAGGUAGUGUUCCUUAAGCAUGCUAGUAUUCAAUUUACUCUUUCUUUUUUAAAAGGCAACAAGUCUCGCUAUUUUAAUUUUGAAAAAUAGAGAGAUGAAGCAGUAUUCAAUUUACUCUACAUUUCAUGUAUUGUUUGGACACGGAUGCCGAAGUGCCAAGGGAUUUCAUUCCUCAUAUGGUGCAUUUUGGCAACACUUGUGCCUAAAGGAGCUAUAUGUCACUGCUCCGGUUCAAUAAUUUUGUAGCAAGGAAGAACUAUACCUUCUCUUGAAGGAUGAACCCAAAUUUACCAGUAGACCCCUCUGUCAAAUAUUUUAGAAUGAAAAAGGAAAACCUUAAUUUUCUAUGCUCUAACUAUGAAGUUUUUGGCCUCCAAUAUAUAUAUUUAUUAUGGCAUAGAUGAUAGAGCUAAUGCGAUAUGUAUUAUUUGUUUAUGCCUUUCUUGUAUCAGAGAAACAAUAGGGUUUAGGUUUUCUCCAUUUACUUUCCAGUUACGUUUUUGGUUGGUUGGAUAUGCUAUUUGUUUCAUAUCCUCUUAUUAUAAAGAGAGUGAUGUUACUUUAAUAGAAAAAUUGUAGUGCUUGUGCGCCAUAAGAUUUACCAUCUUAAUUUUUUGGAUAAGAGAUUUACUGUCUUAAUUGAUUAAGGAAAUUGAUGGGUUCAUCCUUCCUGUAAUCAUUUAGGUUUUAUUUACUCUGGGAUUGAAAAUGUUAGUUUAUGAUCAUUUCUUUUCUUAUUUAGAUUUGAAGAUGAUAAGCAUGUUUCUGGAUUAUUCGAGGAAUUGUGGGAAGAAAGUACUAGUGGUGAACGUAUUACUCUUCAAUUAUAUCUGGGAGAAAUUGUUUCUCUCAUAUGCAAUGGAAUUACAUCAUCAUCAUGGAGCAGUAAAAAGAAAGUAAGUAAUGUUCUUUUCAACGGUAACUCUCUUUUGUUUUUUAUUAUUUGAUGUUUUGUCUUCUCCAUUUUUCAUUCUGCUUCUAUCUUGCAGUCAGCACAAGCAAUGUCCAAACUUUGUGAAGUUUUGGGGGAGUCCAUAUCAUCCUAUCAUCAAGUACUGCUCCAAUCUCUUAUGAAAGAAGUUUCUGGUCAUAUAUGGGAGGUACAGUUGUACGAUUUUACUUUAUUACGCAAAAGAAAUAUGCUGUUUGAUUUUCAGGAAUAGGUCCAAUGUUGAAGAAAACUAAUGAUGAAAUUUUAAAGUUCUAGGAUAUUUUUUGCAUUUGACAAACAUAGCAAGAAAUUACUUCAUUGUGCGGGAGUAGGUUGAAGAGGGUUCUGGUAUUUUAAUAGAAUAAUGGAAAAAGAAUCUGAGCUAAUAGGUCCUGUUUUUGUUUCUUGCUGUGACAGGGAAAAGAAACCAUCUUGGAUGCACUUGGUGCUAUUUCAACUGCUUGCCACAAAUUAAUUUCUACUGCAGAUCCUGCCCUGCCCAAUGCCAUUGUAAACCUGGUAUCUUCCUCCUGCUCCAAGAAAGCAAAGAAAUUCCGAGAAGCCGCUUUUGCUUGUCUUGAGAAGGUGCAUACUAUUUCUAUUAAUAGAGGUCCCAACAUCUCAAAAGUAUUGCUUAUGUUCGUUCCAUUUUGGUUAUUACUUGUGUUGUGUCAUCUACAGAUGUUAGAAUUUCUUAAGAUUUAGCUUGGAAUUCAAUUCAUAGGAAAUACAUAAUGAAAUGGAGACUUGUUUGUUUGUUUUUUUAAACCAGAGCAAAAAUUUGAACACCCAAAAUGGCUAAAAAUGAGGCAUUGAUGUUACUUUCAUGAUGAAGUUUUACAGAUGUUCGAUAAUUGGUUGUGGAGAUUUUUUUUUCUUUUUUUGUUUACUAAAUGUAUUUUUUCUAUUUGUAAGGUCUCAAUAACCAUGACUAUGUUAGACUCCCCAAUUUUACACGCAUAUAAGAGAAGGGGCAAAAAGGGGAGUGCAUUGGAUGGGGAAUAAAAGAGCCACCGGGAUGGGAGUGAUAUAUACCUGAGGGCCCACUUGCAAGGGAAUAUAUAAAGAUAGUGUUUUGGGGUUAGCAUUUUUAGGUUUUGUUUUGGAAAGGCUGCUGUUGGCUUUAUUAGGAGAGGUUUUCAGUCUUCUUCAAGGAGCUGGGUUAUUAUCCCUUGUUGCUUUCAUUUUCCUUAUUUGAUAUUUCUAGUUGUUUGUUAGAACUUUGAGUUUAUUAUAUCAAUAUAUUGCAUAGAGAUCAGUAACUUGAAAGAGAUCUUACUCGAAUUGAAGAAGAGUGUGGAGCAGCUUGUGGAUGGCAUGAAAGAGACUAACUCCAGUGGAAGGAAGGAGGAAUCGAGGAUGUCUGAUGCUUUGGUACUCAAAAUGAAAGGGAAAACGGAGGAAGUGGAAACAGGUCAGACCGGUGAGCAGGGGUCAAUGAACAAGAGCGAGUAUGAAAACUGGAGAUGCCGAUCUUCAAUGGGGUGAAUUCUAGGUAUACCGUGUGGAAUUUCUUUGAGAUCAAUGAGCUAGCAAACAAUGAGAAAGUGAAAGUGGUAGUGGUUAGUUAGCGGGUUCCAAUGGAGUAACAACCAGAAAAAGGUAACCUCAUGGGGAGACUUAAAACAGAGGAUGUUUGAUCAUUUCCAACCAACGGGAGAAGGGAGCCUUGGAGCUCGAUUGGUCAGAAUCACGCAAGAUGGGACUUAUGCCAUAUGAAGAAAUUUUGAACUAUCCCCCCUUCCCAACUGAAAAUGGCAGAGUGUGUUGAUGGAUGCCUUUGUGGUGGGGUUGGCAUCGGAAUUGAAGGCAGAUGUGGUUAGCAAUCAUCUAAGAAACUUGGAUGAGUGUAUGAGAGAGCCCAACUUGUUAAUGACCAUAAUGUUGCCCUAAAGCUGGCUUUGAGUGAAUUAGGGAUCCAUAGAUCAAAUAAGAGUGAGGCCCAGCCCAACAGGGCCUAGUUGGCCCAUACGAAAAAAAAAGUGGAGUGAAGGGAAAUAAGAAUCAAAUGUGAUAGGUUAUUAUAACUACACAGAGGAACUUUGAGAAGAGGGAACUGCGGUCAAAAGGUUAUCUAACAGUGAACUAAGGACACAUCUCGAUAAAGGACUGUGUUUCUGGUGCAAUGAAAAGUGGUCACAUGGCCAUAGAUGUAAGGUUCGAGAGAACAGAGAGUUGGUGUUGCUCAUUACCAACAAGGAAGGAGAUCUGGAAGAAGAACCAACAAUUGAAAUAGGGAAACUGGCCAACACGAGCUCAUCUCAACCGGCAACUGUAUGUAUCCGAGAACAAGAGGUCUCAAGUUCAAUUCUCCCCACCCCCAAGUUGUAUUACAAUACCUUUUCAAAAAGAAAAAGAAACUGGAGAAACUGAGACCGUUGAGUUGAAGGUGAUGGAAGUGGGAGAUCAAACGAAGAUUGGUCUAAGCACCCUUCAUGGUUUCACGGAGAAAGGAACCAUCAAAAUAAAGGGGAAGAUACAAGGGAGAGAGGCAGUGGUGUUGAUCAACAGUAGGGCAACCACAACUUCAUUCACCAAAAAAUAGUAAAGGAACUUGAACUACCUGUCACAAAAGGAACGAAGUUUGGAGUGACUCUUUUUUUGAAAAUGAUACAAAAAUCACUUUUAUUAAUAUUGAAAAAUAAAGAGAUAAAGCUCAAUGUACAUGAGGGGUUAUACAAAGAGCAAUAGGGGGAGGGAGGAUCAGCAGGCACACUCGGGCAUCUCAACUAGAUUGAUACUCUCUUAGCGUCCUCAUCACAUCCAAAAAGCAACAAUACAAGAUCAAAACAAAAAGCCACAAAUACAAGGCCAAACAAAAUGAUAAAAUAAUCUGUCCAAAACAAAAUCAUAAAUCAUAGACAGCAGGCCGAGAACAAAGAAGAAUAAGCCUUGAUUGAGCAAAAAACUAUUUGAAGCAAAGGGCUGAUCUGGAAGUUUUGAUGAUCAAGGAUUUCAAGGUGGAGAGGUAGUAAAGGCGGGCCGAUUUAACACAAUCUCCUGCCAAAGAGUAAUCCUGAAAAUCUUUGGGUAGAGAACACAAUGAAGAUGCAUUCAAAGAAUCAAAACGUUCCAUCCAAUUGAAGGUUUAUCAUGGAAAACUCUUUGGUUUCUUUCAAACCAGAUUUCAAAUUAGAGGGCUUUUACUGCGUUUACCCACAAUAAAUCAGAUGUCUUCUUCUUCAAGGCUGGACCGGCAAGAACUUGAGUCACAUUGUUCUUUAAAUCAUGAUCAAAAGCCCAACAAAUAUGGAAUGCUUGGAGAAGACAGAACCAACAUUUAGAUGCAAAGAGAGUCAAAUAAAAGGUGCUGAAUAUUUUCCAUGUUACCAACAUAAAGGGGGCAGGCAUGAGGUGAGAGGACAUGGGAGCGAAGUUUACUUUGAAGUACUAAAGCACAGUUUAAUUUUUCAAACAGCAUAAUCCAUAUGGAGAUAUUUACCCUUCUUGGACUAUUAGAUUGCCAAAGCCUUUUGUACAAAGAACUUUCUAAAGGAGAAGAAGUCGAAAGAUGUUUAACCAAUGAUUUAAUCGAGAAGGAACCUAAGGUUUCAAGGGACCAAAAUUUUCUAUCCGGAAAGGAGGCUGGCUGUGAGGAGGAGAUCUAAAAUAACAAGGGCUGAAAGUCUAUUAUUUCCUCAUCAUUAAGCAAUCUUCUGAAAUAAAUGAUCAAGAGCUGGUAGAAGAGUCCCAAUGAUAUGAAACUGACGCAUUUGGAUUGAGUGCAAUCCUAAUUGGAAAUUUACACUCCAAAGUGAUAUUGUUCAUCCAUGGGUGCUUCCAAAAUAGAGUUAUGCUGCCAUCACCUAAUUUGAAGAGAGCAAUAAAUCAAGUUUGGAGUGACCAUAGGAGAUGGAACGGCCAAUGUCAUAGAAGCGCAAGAGACGUGUCAAAGAAUUGAGUUGGAACUUCCCGAGCUGACCAUUGGGAUGGAAUUCUUAGCCAUCAACCUGGGCAGGUUGGAUGUGGUCUUAGGAAUCCCAUGGCUGUGCUCGACAGGAUUUAUGGGGGUGCAUUGGUCCUCAAAGUAAUUAGUGUUCAUGAUGGGAAACAAAACCGUUAUCCUCAAGGGAGACCCUGCAUUAACCAUGAUCGAAUGCUCAUUGAAGACAAAGUCAUUAGCAAUUUCCCUCUUUUCACCUUUAGAACAAGGUGCAUUUUGAGCCAGCCGGUAAUGUUAGACGCCCAAUUUUACACACAUAUAAGGGAAGAGGCAAAAAGGGGAAUGAAAGAGGUAAUGGUAGACCCCCAAUUUUACACACAUAUAAGGGAAGAGGCAAAAAGGGGAAUGCACUGGAUGGGGAAUGAAAGAGCCACUGGGAGGGGAGUGAUAUAUACCUGAAGGCCCACUUGUAAGGGGACAUAUAAAGAGAAUGUUUUGGGGAUUAACAUUUUUAGGUUUUGUUUUGGAAACGCUGCUGUAGGCUUUAUUAGGAGAUGUUUCCAGUCUUCUCGAAGGAGCUGAGUUAUUAUCCUUGUUGCCUUCAUUUUCCUUGCUUGAUAUUUCUGGUUGUUUGUUAGAACUUUGAGUUUAUGAUAUCAAUAUAGAGGGUACUUUCUCUAUUUUGGCUUGUUGGGAUUUUUCUGUUUCUCAGGUUUGGGGUCCUAACAGACUAUUAUGGGAAUGGGUCAAAAUGUCGAGUUAGGUUUGUGUAGUAACCUGUGGUGGUUAAUUGGUGCAUAGUGUUCCUCACCCCCAUUCUUCCGACCAGACCUUUUCAUUUGAACUGGAAGUUCCUGUAGAUGGAAAACUACCUAGAACUAUUAAGUAUGAAUAAGUACUUUCUGCCCUAUCACUUGUCAGAUGUUCUAUGAACCAAAAAGGUCAAAUGCUUUUUGGGCAAACUCAUUAAUUGCACCUUACUGCAUCUUUCUUUGUGUUUUAGUUAUUAAAAAUUAUUGUCUAGAAAAGCUGAACAAUUAAAGAACAAAAGACGUUAACACAUAAUGUUCCUACGUUAUUCAACGGCACCUUUAUCUGUUUUAGUUAUACAUUGGUCCUGAAAUAUUGUUAGUGCAUUUAAAACAGAGUGGCUAGCCUACACUUAUCUUCCAUCGGUGCUUUUUCAGGUUCUAAAGGCCUUUGGCAGUCCCCAAUUCUUCAAUAUGGUCUUCCCAUUGUUAUUUGAGACUUGUAAAUCAGCGGAUUCUGGACAGGCAUCUCUGGGAGGGGUUGCCACUAAAACAGGUUCUUACUUGCUACCAAAUUUUCUGUUUCUGUAGUAAGUUGAUUUGUUUCAUAAAUUUGUCUCCCGCCAUGAGUGGAAGUCAGAUCGUUAUUCUGGUGCCUCUGUCUAUGUAGAUAAUUAUUCUGUAUAUAUUUGAUAGAAACACAUUCUAAGUUUUUGUGAUGAGACAAGUUUAUGUGAAUAUGUUAGAAAAAGGAAAGAUAUGACAUGGGAGCUCCUAGAGGAGGGUAGACUACAAUAACUAUAGCAUCAUUUAAUACUCCUACAUUUUUUUGUUCAACUACAUACAGAGAUGGAGAUUCAAACAUAUCCUCCAAUUUUUUAGUUCUCGAGGAUAUAUGCCUUAAGGCCUUAAUACCUUGAGGUUGGCUAGUAUUUCUGUUUCUAUCCUAGAACAUAUCCUCCAACUCUUUCCAACCUAAUUUUCUACAAAUUUGCUUGCUAAAUUCAGUCACUUAGUUUUAUUCUCUUGUUGAAUAGGGAACCACUACGAAAGAGUUUGAAUGAGUUUCUUAAUCGAUCAAGGAAAGACAAAAUUAUUCUAAAAAGUAAAAAGCUAACAAAUGGAGGGUUUCUUCCUAUCAUUGCUGCCACAUAUUGUUGCCCAUGUUUUCU